rnacentral:siRNA from 1 species
AACGUGUGCAUGAUGGAGGACCUU